AACGAGCGCUGGCGGCAUGCCUAACACAUGCAAGUCGAACGAGACCUUCGGGUCUAGUGGCGCACGGGUGCGUAACGCGUGGGAACCUGCCCUUAGGUUCGGAAUAACUCCCCGAAAGGGGUGCUAAUACCGGAUAAUGUCUUCGGACCAAAGAUUUAUCGCCUUUGGAUGGGCCCGCGUUGGAUUAGCUAGUUGGUAGGGUAAAAGCCUACCAAGGCGACGAUCCAUAGCUGGUCUGAGAGGAUGAUCAGCCACACUGGGACUGAGACACGGCCCAGACUCCUACGGGAGGCAGCAGUGGGGAAUAUUGGACAAUGGGCGAAGGCCUGAUCCAGCAAUGCCGCGUGAGUGAUGAAGGCCUUAGGGUUGUAAAGCUCUUUUACCCGGGAUGAUAGUGACAGUACCGGGAGAAUAAGCUCCGGCUAACUCCGUG
rnacentral:rRNA from 1 species